CCUCCUAAGGGCGGAUUUAAUCGGAAAGUUCUCUAAUCCUUUGAUUUUGGGGAAAAUAGAAGACAAAUGGACCUUCUAAUACAUGCUAGUGCAGAAUCCCCCUUCAGGGGAAUUACCGCGAACAGGUGAGGAAACCCGGAAUUCAAGCCCCCCCGAGGCUGGGCCGGAGACGUAUUAGGUAGAAGGGCGGUGUCAAAGACCACCUUGCCGAAGAUGCGCAACCCUUUAAUCGGAAGUCACACUUUCACUGAAACAAGGGGAAGGCUCAUAAGUCCCCCCUAGGACGAGGCAGCAGUAGAGAAUAUUGUGCAAUAUACGUCAGUAUGACACAGAGAGCACACAUCACACUUAGCCUGUCAAAUUAAGUGCCAGCAGACGCGGUUAGACUUAAGGGCUAAGCCUUUAUAGGAAAAAAGGCGUAAAGGGUGUGUAGGCCGACAAUUCCCCCCCAAGGUGGUAAAUGGAAUUUUUCUGUAACGGUAGAAUGUGUGGAUAGAAAAUAGAACCCCAAAGGCAAAAGCAAUUUACCUCGGGGAACCCGAGCACAGGCUGAAACACGAGGGUGUGGGGAACAAACAGGAUUAGAGACCCUGGUAGUCCACACUGUAAACGAUGAAGAAAAUGUUAAUGCAACCCCGAAAGGUAGUAAUCUUCCGCCUGAGUAUUACGAUCGCAAGAUUAAAAUUCAAAAAAUUUGGCUGUUCACUGUUUCGAUUAGAGGAGCGUGUAGUUUAAUUCGAUAAACCGCGAGAUACCUUACCCAAACUUGAAUCACCCAUCCGAGAUUGAAUGGUCUCGGGAGGGUAGACCGGUAUUGCAUGGCCGUCGUCAGUUCGUGUAUGAAACCUUUAACGGACCUAACCCGGGGGGUUAGCCGCGGAUGAAGUCAGGUCUUAUGAUCCCUAUGUUUGGGGAUAAUAUGCGCUACAUUUUCUUAUACAAUGGGAAACCUGAAAGGUGAAACCCCAAAGUAGGAGUUCGGUAGGUCAUUGUAAGAUGACCGAAAGUUGAAUUUAAUAGUAAUCGGAAAGUAGAGCGUUCCGGUGAAAUGAUCUAAGUGUUAGCACAAAUCGCCCGUCACCUUAACUUAGAACGAUAGUACGGACGCAGCCCUGCCAGCUCGCAAUGUCGAGGCCCCCCCUCGAGGGGGGGAGAGGCUUCGGUGGUCACGAAUCUCUACGAAGUUAAGCAAGUCGUAACAUAGUGAGGGAAGGGGAACCUUCCCUUG
rnacentral:rRNA from 1 species